UUUGACUUUGACAAACUAAUGUUGUGUUGUAUUUAUUUCGUGGGCAUGAAUAAAAUUUGAGGAGAAAUAACGAAAAUGAAGUUCUUCUCUUGUAUUUUUGUGCUGUUAAGUCUCUUUGUCUCCAUUGUUAUUGCUGUAACGGAUCAGAAGGUAGCAUACAACGUGAGCAGUAUUAUUCCGGCAGUUUUUGUGUUCGGCGAUACCGUAGUUGAUACAGGCAGCAACAACUGGUUUCGCACGCGGGAACAUCCUACAUCAUGGGAAGAAUUUCGAGGGAGGAAAGCCCAAUGGCAGAUUUUGUGAUGGAAAAGUUCCCUCUGACCUUUUUGUGGAAGAACUGGGAAUAAAGGAGCUCCUGCCUCCAUAUCUUGAUCCAACGCUGCAAGCUAAGGAUCUCAUAACUGGAGUUUGCUUUGCUUCAGCAGCCUCUGGAUAUGAUCCACAAACAAACGCUUUCUUGGUAUAGUUUCCUUUUCCUUUUAUCCUUAAAGAAUAAAGGUGAGGAGUUAUCUUUUUUCUAUAUUUUUUUAUUGAUCUUUUUUUUCUGAUUGAUGAAAAUGCAGCCAGUUUUAUCAAUCCCAAAACAGUUAGAGUUGUUCGAAGAAUAUAUCGAAAAACUUAAAGCUAUUGUUGGACAAGUUAGAGCUUUAGAAAUAUUAAGCAACAGUCUUUUUAUAGUAAUUACCGGCCAGGUUGACAUUCAAUUUAAUCCAGCUUCCUCUCUAAACCCAUCGUACAACCAGCUCUUGGUCAACUUUGCUUCCACUUUUUUGCCGGUAGUUUUAAUUUACAUACACUUAAUUUAAUUAUUUUAUGGUUAAAUUAGCUACUAAACUGAAACUGUUUGAUCUUUGCUAUUUGAAUUUUUAUUUUUGAAAGGGCCUGUACAAGUUAGGGGCACGCAAAAUUGGUGUAUUUGGUGUAGGACCAAUAGGAUGCUUACCAUUUUACAGAAAUACGCAAGGAGGAAUUCAAAGAAAAUGUGUCGAUUCUCUUAAUCACAAAGCAUACUCGUUCAACAACAAGCUCUCGACUGAGAUAAACUCUCUUAUUAACACAUUUCCUGACGCUAAAAUGGUCUACAUUGAUUUCUACAAUUUCAUCCUUGAUCUAAUCAACAACCCUACAAAAUAUGGGUACAAGAUUGCACAAAAUGGGUGUUGUGCUCUUGCUGGAAAACUAGAUUUGCUAGAUUACUGUCCCACCGCAUGUUCAAAUGAUUAUGACUAUAUUUUUUGGACGGUUUCCAUCUUACAGAGAAAGGCUAUAGACUCCUAGUCCGUCAAGUUCUCCUCCAACAUCUUCAAACCUUCAUCUCAUGACCAAAUGAUCGAUUCAUAUACACAAGCAUGGUUCUACUUUCCUCUAUUUGGUUACUGUUAGAAUAUUAGUUGGGCUUAGUUAGGGUUUGGUUGCAUUUGGGCUUCAUUAUUUAUAUUGGGUUGUAGUUGGCUUUGUAUCAUUUUUCUUUUUCAACUUAUUCUUUGUAAAUGGAUCUUACUUAACUAAU